rnacentral:antisense_RNA from 1 species
CCGUGGGAGGGAAGGCAUUCUCUGUCAAGCUGCUGUCACCUUACCUGAAGUAAGGAGUCCACGCCUGCAUGUCCGAGGAAAACAGUUUUCUCAAACACAUUAGUUGAAAAACUGAAGACACUGCCUAAAAUACAAGCUGAGUUAGAGACAGCCCUUGUAAGACUAGAAAAAGAAAUGAAAACUAAGUAACAUGAAUUAACAUAGUCCAGGGUCACAAAGCAAAAUGGAACAAGAACCUGGAUCUGAAUUCAGAGGCAGAAUGCUGGGCCUGAGAAUCAGGAGAGUCAAUGGUAUUAGUGCUGGUCCGGAAGCCAUCAUGCUUCAAAACCAAGAAGAGCUGAUUUUCCAGAUGGAGUCUAAAGGUGAGGCGAUACCUCGCCCUGCUUCAGCUUACGCUGGGUGCGCUGCACCCACUGUCCUGCACCCACUGUCUGACAAUCCCCAGUGAAAUAAACCCAGUACCUCAGUUGGAAAUGCAGAAAUCAUUCAUCUUCUGCAUGCCUCAAGCUAGGAGCUGUAGACUGGAGCUGUUCCUAUUCGGCCAUCUUGGCUAGCAAAAAACUACCACAAUUUCUUUAACCAGUCUAUCACUGAUGGACAUUUGGGUUGGUUCCAAGUCUUUGCUAUUGUGAAUAGUGCCGCAAUAAACAUAUGUGUGCGUGUGUCUUAA